rnacentral:rRNA from 1 species
UACAGAGGGUGCAAGCGUUAAUCGGAAUUACUGGGCGUAAAGGGCGCGUAGGUGGUUACGUAAGUGAGAUGUGAAAGCCCCGGGCUUAACCUGGGAAUGGCAUCUUAUACUGCGUAACUGGAGUGCAAUAGAGGGUAGUGGAAUUUCCGGUGUAGCGGUGGAAUGCGUAGAGAUCCGGAGGAAGACCGGUGGCGAAGGCGGCCUGCUGGGCAGUUACUGACACUGAGGCGCGACAGCGUGGGGAGCAAACAGG